AGCAGCCGCGGUAAUUCCAGCUCCAAUAGCGUAUAUUAAAGUUGUUGCAGUUAAAAAGCUCGUAGUUGAAUUUCGGGGUUAGUAGGCUGGUCGUGCCACUGGUACGUACUGGUCUCACUGACUCCUCCUUCCUGAUGAACUGUAAUGCCAUUAAUUUGGCGUUGCGGGGAAACUGGACUGUUACUUUAGAAAAAUUAGAGUGUUUAAAGCAAGCUAACGCUUGAAUACAUUAGCAUGGAAUAAUAGAAAUAGGACGUUCGAUCCUUAUUUUGUUGGUUUCUAGGAUUGACGUAAUGAUUAAUAGGGAUA
rnacentral:rRNA from 1 species